ensembl:lncRNA LINC03082 long intergenic non-protein coding RNA 3082
GGGGAGACCGCACUGCACACCUGCAUUCAACAGGGACACAGAACGGCACGCGCCGUGCACGGGUCUCUCUCAGCUGCCAGGUAGGGCUAUGCGGGGACUUCUCCAGUUAAACUUACAGGGAAGCCUGCGAAAGUCAGCCAGUCCCACCGAUAAAUUCACUGCUGACCAAGCAAAACUCAGCAGCCCUUACAUCUGACUGAUGUCCAUAUGAGAGAAAAGAGAGGAGGACUUCAGAGACACCCACAGCUCCAACGACAGAGUGCAGCAUUUCAGCAGGAUGGCAUCCUAUAAUGUUAAACGCACAAUUAAAACAAUCGCUAGAGGUGAAAAGAAGCAGGGAGAUGAACACCAUAACCAGGAGGGGAAAAGGUCAGUGGAGACCUACCUGGAUGUAGUGGGAAUGUGGGAAUGAGCAGACGAGGACUUAAAGCAGCUGAUAUUUCAGAGACUUGAAGCAAAAGAGAAACAAAAAGGUGAAUGGCUGGGGAUUUUAACAAAAAUUCCAAACUAUUAAAAAGAAUAAAACACAAAUUCUAAAGCUGAGAAAUAUAAUAUGGGAAAUAAAAAAAUUUACUGGACUGGCUUACAACAGCUUGGAUAUGAGAGAAGAAAAGAAUAGUGCCUUUGGAUGCAGGGCAAUAGAAAUUAUCCAAAUGAAGAACAGGGAAAAACUGACAAUAAUUCUAGAUGUGUGUGUGCCUGAUAGCAGAGCUUGAAAAUACACGAAGAAAAUGGCAUAACUGGUGGAGAAAUAGACAAAAUCCACCAAGACAAUUCCAUGGCUUCAACAUUUCUCUUUCAGUGAUUGGUAGAACCAACAGACCAAAAUUUGGUGAGAAUAAAGCAUAUUUGAACAUCAUGGCAGAAAGAAAGUAAGUUAUUUUCAGAAAUCAUGCUGGAACUGGAUAUCCAUGUGGAAAAAAGGAACCUCAACUUCCACUUCCUACUCACUGGGUUGACUUGUGUCCUCCAAAGGUUCACACCCACCUGGGACUUCAGAGAGUGACUAUUUGGAAUUAGAGGCUUUGCAGAUGUAAUUGAAGAUCUUAAGAUGACUCAUCCUGAAUUUCGGAUGAAUCCUAAAUCCAGUGACUGAUGUCCAUAUGAGAGAAAAGAGAGGAGGACUUCAGAGAAACACAUAGGAAGAAACCCACUAAAAUGGCUAUUUUUUAAAUUCUUAUACUUUAAGUUCUGGGAUACAUGUGCAGAACGUGCAGGACUAAGCCAGUGGAUCACAAACAUCCUGGAGAGCAGUGACUCUGUGAUUCCAUCACAAGAAUAUGAAGGACUGAGAAGAUCUCCAGCUCUGCCCAUUGCACCUUCCCAUUGAGAAGCAGCAUGGCACCCUGGUGGCAGGGGCUGAUACUCAGCCGGGCCAGGGUGCUCUCCUGUUAACCAUAACCAAGCUCACAGGACAUGGGAUGAGCCCACUGUGUGACACAGGGAGCGGGACACAGUCUGUUAAGUCUUGCACAGCCAUGCUCUGCCACGCAGGCAGGCCUUUCCUUGGCCUCCCUCUCCCUGUUCGUGCUCAUGUGAACAUCCACCUACGUGGAUAGACUGGGCUUUGGUUCAUUAUUGCUCUGUGAAUUCCUCGAACUUCCGCAUCUGCCCAACCUCCCCCACCCCAUUGUUUUCAUUGUGUUUCACCAAAUGGAAAUUCUAGAGUAAGCAUGUGAGUCCUCUCCCAAACUUGUUCACUGUUGAGAGUGCUAAAAUGCUAACCCCAGAUGCUAACUGAGGGGUAGGGUUACCUUAUCUUUAGAGCACUGCGAAUUGUAUGUUAAGUGGAACUUAAUGAAAAAAUAGUUAAUUGACCAACAUGAAUAUCCCCUGAACAGAAUCUCCCCUGAACAGAAUCCUACAAUGAAACUAAGGGAGAUAAAUAAAGCUGUUUACCUGAAAGCUCUCUCUAAUCAAGAUCCUUUGAAAUUUAUAAAACAUGGUCAAUAUUUGCACUGGACUUUGUAAAAAUAAAGCUUGAUAAGAGAAG